rnacentral:lncRNA from 1 species
UAAAUAAUAAGAUUGAUAUCUAUCUUCUCCACAUUAAUCAAUAAUUUGGAUUUUAUAGAAGUAAAUUUUAAUAUGAAAAAAUAUAUUUCUGCAAAAUGGAGUCUUUUUUUUAGCAUUUAUUGAAGGGCAUUCUAGUGAAAUAUAAUCCUUGAUCUUAUAUUGUCUCAUUUUUUAUAUCAACUUACAUUAUCCUUAACUACCUACUUCUCUUCUCCAUGUUGAAUUUGCCCUUCUCUU